UUCUUUGGUUAUCUAGCUGUAUGAGUAAAAAUUAAAUUUUCAUAAAGCCAGACGACCGAAGUA
rnacentral:pre_miRNA from 1 species